rnacentral:rRNA from 1 species
UACAGAGGGUGCGAGCGUUAAUCGGAUUUACUGGGCGUAAAGCGUGCGUAGACGGUUAUUUAAGUCGGGUGUGAAAGCCCCGGGCUCAACCUGGGAAUUGCAUUCGAGACUGAAUAGCUAGGGUACGGUAGAGGGAAGCGGAAUUUCCGGUGUAGCGGUGAAAUGCGCAGAUAUCAGGAAGAACACCCGUGGCGAAGGCGGCUCUCUGGGACGGUACUGACGCUGAGACGCGAAAGCGUGGGGAGCGAACAGG